rnacentral:lncRNA from 1 species
AAAACAGGGCCAACGUUCACAGUCGGCUUGAAGAGAUGGCCGAUGCUCGGGUGAUAGACGAAAACCCUUUAGGACGCGAGGCGGAAUGGGAACGUGCCAGGCCAAGGACCAAACCAGUAAACCCCAGGUGGUGUCCCGACGGAUUGACCAAAUCUCAAAAACGAAGGAUCCAACGUCUCCGCCAGUGGGAACAGCAGGAGGAGGAACAACAGAGCACGACGGACAAGAG